rnacentral:misc_RNA from 1 species
UGCUUCUUCUUCUUCUUCCUCAACAAUGGCGCCUAUGAGUGGAAAGCCCUUUGCUUUGACCGGAUCAAGCAGCAAGAAUGACGGCGUUUUAGCUAGGAUUUCUCAAUCCACCAUUGUUACGAAGGGGAAACAAGCAGCUUGUGAUGCGACUUAUGUGGGGAAAAAGCUUGCGAAGAGUACUGGAAAAGCUGCUUGGCUUGUUGCUACAACGUUUUUGGUUCUGGGUUUGCCGUUGAUUAUUGUUAUGGAUCGUGAACAGCAGCUGAAUGAUCUUGAUCUUCAACAAGCAAGUCUUCUUGGUGCUUCCCCUGCUACUACACAGAAUUGAUUUUGUUAGUGGGUUUGAGAAAUUUGUAGAAUGGGUUGGGAAAGCUGCAGUUUAUUAGUUAAAAAAAGAAGAUCUUGAUCUUCAAUAGAAAUUAUUUUUCGUUAUGUUUGUGUUUUUUUGUUAGUGUUUUGAUGAUGGAUUUCGAGAUUGGAUCGAUGAAAUUUGUAGAAUGUGUUGGUUGUUUUAUUAGAUGUUUGGGAAGCUGCAGUGUUUAUUAGUGG